CCGAAUGCAAGCAGCACUCCAGCCAUCGAGGAGAAACAAAACCAGACUCGAGUUAAGCGGUAAGGGGAGGUCUAGGGAAGAGCCCAGUGUGGACAGAACGCCACUCGGCUGGACACAAGGCAGGGUGGAGGACCAAGGAGGUGCUGAGAAGGUGAAAGGGGUUCGUCCCUGUGAUCUGGCCUUCAGGGUGCGCUAAUUGGUGCUUAUCCAGAGGAAAACCAGGAUGCAGCGAUGCAAAUUGGACCCUCUGCCCACCAGGCUGGGAGAAAGAAUCUUGGUGGAGGACAGAUCACUACCCAGCAAGCGCCCCUGGCCAGAACAGUGAGCUUCAAAUCCUGGAGGAGGAGCCUUUGUGUCUGUUGACCCAUCCAUCAGCCAAACAAGAUGGAGAAUCCAGGAGCACAGUGUCCUUGUUACCAGCAUCCUGAAGGCCCCGCACGGUGAGGCUGUGGAACUCUUCCAAUUCCCAGGACCAGCAGGAGGCAUUUGCUCAGUGACACGGCCACCCCUCCCCAUGAUGUCAUUACCUAAGGUCUUUCCUCAACAGCCUCUGUGUGUCCAAACACUUGUGGCUAACCCCAGCCUGCACCUGACCUAGGGAGGAACCCCUGGCUGCUGGGUCACGGUAAUCAUCUGAUCUGCAGAGAGACAGGCAGCCCCGUGAUGACACCUGCCCAGAUCCUCCUCCUUUUCCACCUGCCGCCACAGGAAUUUCUUUACCUCAACUUAUCAAGGUCUUCAUAGCUUCGACGUUGGACUAGAAAAGAAAGGGAGUCAGAUAAAGGUUGGAUCUCACUACCACACUCUCAGGGAUGUGCUCAGAUCUUUAACAAACACUGGGGAGAGGAGAUCAUUUCUUGAGAAGUCCUGUCCUCGACACUGAUGGCAGCUGUGCGGAUUAGGUCAGAGGAUGGCGCGGGUGUGCUCAGGUGAGGCGGACAGCCUGGCCUCGUGCUCUCCUGUUCCCCCGUGGAGGAGCAGCGUGACUAGAAUGGGUGGUUCUCCAAGAAACCUGGGAAGACCAGACUUUUCUCAGCUCUCGAUGGACUCUUUCUCCCUACCAAAGGGGAUGCCCUGUACAAGUGAGAAAUAAGCCUAGAAAAUUCUUACAACUUUUGUGUGAUGUUUUAGGACUUGCUUUGGGGGCUCAAAGUACAGAACGCAGGGGAUUCGUCACCCCUGCAACCCCACAUCUCCUGGGCAUCAGCAGCCGGGGCUCCUGGGCUCUUGGUGCUGCCGCUGAGCAUUCUCCUCCUGCUAAUAUUUUCUAUUUACUGUUAAUUGGAUAUUUGAAAUAAGCAUCAUUUGAAAUAUCUUCCCCUGAGUUUGGUAGUGAGACAUUUACUGCCUCCAUGGGCCCCCCCCUCCCCGGAGCAGCCCUGAGGCGGAGAGGAAGAGGCCCUAAUUCCACGCUUCAGGCUAACUCUCCACACGGAAACAUGCGGAACCCCUGGAGAACAGGGCCAAAGCUGUGCGUCUGGAGGAGCCUUAGCCACGGGCCCAGCCCUCUCUGUGGAGCGUUGCCCUUCACGGCGGUGAUGCGCCUCAGUCUGUGUGUUAACAGGCACCAAUUGAUAUUCAGAAAGAUGUUCCCGAACAUCUUCAGGGAUACUUUGAGAAGCCUUACUUUCUCUCCAAUGCUCGUCUAUCACGCUCCCUUUGUGUGAUAAACAUUUUUAUAAUCAGAAAAGCAAAACUAUUUUAAUCUUGGGGGAAAGUAUGGUUAGGUCUGUUGAGAGCUCUAAGUGUAUUAAAAAUGCAGAGUCACAUUCUCUUAUGCCACCCCAAGCAAGAGACACUGUCACCCAAACAUUUUAGAUGAGCGUGGAGGAACAGUUACCUCCAAGCUCCGGGGUCCGGGGUCCAAGCCCAUCUUUACAGGGAGAGAUUUGCCAGGGUGGCUCAAGAACACUACAAAGAUAUGUUCUAGAUCACCUAGAAAUUCCCCUCUUAGAAAUUUAUACUAAGAGAAAACAACUAGACAGAUGUGCAAAUAUACAGUCAGACAUGUUCACCAGAGAUGUGUGGUAAGAAUAUUCUUAAGAUGCAAACAAUCAUGGCAAAUGAACUAAAUAAAAGAAGGUGCACCACAUAAUUAAAUACUAUGUGAUCAAUAAAGUAAUGGUAUAAAGGUACGUUUUUUAAAAAAUCUGGAACGUGUUCACAGCACCGUUAUGUGUAAAGCAAGUUACAAAAGUUCAUGUGUCCUGUGAACUUAUUUCAAGAUACUCUACGCAUUUGUAAAUUUACUUUUUUCUCUUUGCUUAUCUGUGCUUUCUAAUUUUUCUAUAGUCAAUACAACUUACUCAUGUGAUUAAAAUUAAAUAUCAGAAAGAAUAUUAAUUAGAGAUGUUCAGAUAUGCAAAGUAGUUCGUGUGACCUCAUGCACAUGCAUACACGCGCACACACACACACGCACACACAUACACACACACACACCCUAUACUACAGGUGGUUACUUGCUCCAGGUUCUAGUAAAAUCUAGACUAUAUAAUCUGGCAUUAGCUUCUAGUUGUCUCACUGCUGCUAUAGAAGCCGGUACAUAAAGUUGAUUUCCUCCAGGUCACCUCUCACCUGUACUGCUCAUUCAGUCACCAAUCAGCUACCUUUGUCUGCAAUUCUGAGAACUCCUGCACGGUCAAGAUAGAUUUUCUCAUUUCUUUCAAAAAGCUUCUUAAUUGAGACUUACAACCUGAGGACCAGAGCAAUGGAGAAGGAGGUUUUCUCUAGCUAUUUAGUUUUCUUUUCAAUAAGUGCUUCCCACCGCAACGUUCUCAGGUGAGUGAGGGUUUUCUAUGUGUAAGGAGAGAAAGGGGAAGUUUUGUUUUAAAAAAAUCCCAUUCUGGGACAGAAUGUCUUAAGCUUCCAGUUUGAGUGACUGAGUCAUUCCCAUUAAAACAAACUGUAAUUUUCACUGGAAUAGAAAUCGUGAUUUACCACAUCCCUUUGUGUAGAAGAUUGCAUUUCACAGCCAAGAAGAUCACAAGUGACAAAAGAUGAAAAUUCUCGCCAGUACCAUUUAUGAUGAAAAUGCCGAUUUCCUUCUAGCCUUCAUAGAGCAAAUAAAAGACGUCACUGUUGGGUGAUAUGUCCUGUAAGAGAAAUCCCAGGGACACAUGCCUAAGAGAGGGCAUGGAGAGGCAGGGACAAAAGAAGACUGACAAAUACAGAGAGUAAUGUUUUGCCUUUUCUUAAUCCUGAUUACUCAAAAUUUUGUCCCUUGGGGUUGAGGUGACCUGAACUCUGUGGGUACAGUAAGUCCAUUUUCUCACUUAGUGUUUUGUACCACGUGUUUCUCAAAGACUUGUGAUCUUCAAGUGGUUUUUUUCUUUUACAAUCUGUAGUCUUCUUUGGGAGCUCUGAAGAGCUGGACAGCAAGAGGGAAAGGAUUUAAAUAAUGAACACAUUAGCACUUGUUAUUUUGUGUCAGUACUGAUGCCUGGGUAUUUUUUUUAUAUCAUUUAGCUAAAUUCACCAUAAAAUGUUUUUAAAGAUUUGAGAUUCAAGAUAAAAUUAGUAUUUCUCUAAUGAGAAUAUCGCCAAUGUAAAAAUAAGAUAGUUAAAAAGGAAACUGCAAUUUCCCCUAAAGUCUUAAAGUAGAAAAUCUGUGUUAAGCUAACCAUCAUUAAAAAAGUGUUUGAAUAAAACUGUUUAGUCCAAAAAGGUUGAUAAAAAUGCUAGUUCUUAUCUUCAGAUUUAAGCGAUUGUAUUCUAUUUAAAAAUGAAAACACGGAUGUAUUAGUUAACAGGGCCACGCACAACUCAGACAAACACUACUUUUAAUUUGACAUGCUUGGUACUAGCACUUGGGGUGAUUUUAAAAAUCUGGUUAAUGGGGGGCCUCCCCUGGUGGCGCAGCGGUUGAGCGCGGGGCUGCGAAACUGCCCGCAGCCUCUGCAGCACCGGUUUGAUCCCCGGCCACCAGGGAGGGUCCCACAUGGCACGUAGACCUCUCCUGCCGCCCGCUGCUCCCCUCAGCAGUGUAUUUCUUCAGUCUGCCUGUUCUGCUCCCCGCUCUGGCUCUGGUGAAUUCUCUUGCCCUCCCGCGCUUCUGA